ACUCCAGUAGCCUAGUCGUUGGAGCGUCCGCCUUGGAUGCAGGAGGUCGUAGGUUCAAACCCCGGCCGAGUG